UCACUGUCAGUAGCUGUCACUGUCAGUAGCUGUCACUAUCAGUAGCUGUCACUAUCAGUAGCUGUCACUAUCAGUAGCUGUCAGUCAGUAGCUGUCACUAUCAGUAGCUGUCAGUAGCUGUCACUAUCAGUAGCUGUCAGUAGCUGUCAGUCAGUAGCUGUCACUGUCAGUAGCUGUCAGUAGCUGUCAGUCAGUAGCUGUCAGUAGCUGUCAGUCAGUAGCUGUCACUAUCAGUAGCUGUCACUAUCAGUAGCUGUCACUGUCAGUAGCUGUCACUAUCAGUAGCUGUCACUAUCAGUAGCUGUCACUAUCAGUAGCUGUCACUGUCAGUAGCUGUCACUAUCAGUAGCUGUCACUAUCAGUAGCUGUCACUAUCAGUAGCUGUCAGUCAGUAGCUGUCACUAUCAGUAGCUGUCACUAUCAGUAGCUGUCACUGUCAGUAGCUGUCACUAUCAGUAGCUGUCACUAUCAGUAGCUGUCACUCUCAGUAGCUGUCAGUCAGUAGCUGUCACUAUCAGUAGCUGUCACUAUCAGUAGCUGUCACUAUCAGUAGCUGUCACUAUCAGUAGCUGUCAGUCAGUAGCUGUCACUAUCAGUAGCUGUCACUAUCAGUAGCUGUCACUAUCAGUAGCUGUCAGUAGCUGUCACUAUCAGUAGCUGUCACUAUCAGUAGCUGUCAGUCAGUAGCUGUCAGUAGCUGUCACUAUCAGUAGCUGUCAGUAGCUGUCACUAUCAGUAGCUGUCACUAUCAGUAGCUGUCAGUAGCUGUCAGUAGCUGUCACUGUCAGUAGCUGUCAGUCAGUAGCUGUCAGUCAGUAGCUGUCAGUCAGUAGCUGUCAGUCAGUAGCUGUCACUAUCAGUAGCUGUCACUAUCAGUAGCUGUCAGUCAGUAGCUGUCACUAUCAGUAGCUGUCACUAUCAGUAGCUGUCAGUCAGUAGCUGUCACUAUCAGUAGCUGUCACUAUCAGUAGCUGUCAGUCAGUAGCUGUCACUAUCAGUAGCUGUCACUAUCAGUAGCUGUCAGUCAGUAGCUGUCACUAUCAGUAGCUGUCACUAUCAGUAGCUGUCACUGUCAGUAGCUGUCACUAUCAGUAGCUGUCACUAUCAGUAGCUGUCACUAUCAGUAGCUGUCAGUCAGUAGCUGUCACUAUCAGUAGCUGUCACUAUCAGUAGCUGUCACUAUCAGUAGCUGUCAGUCAGUAGCUGUCACUAUCAGUAGCUGUCACUAUCAGUAGCUGUCACUAUCAGUAGCUGUCAGUCAGUAGCUGUCACUAUCAGUAGCUGUCACUAUCAGUAGCUGUCAGUCAGUAGCUGUCACUAUCAGUAGCUGUCACUAUCAGUAGCUGUCACUAUCAGUAGCUGUCAGUAGCUGUCACUAUCAGUAGCUGUCACUAUCAGUAGCUGUCAGUCAGUAGCUGUCAGUAGCUGUCACUAUCAGUAGCUGUCAGUAGCUGUCACUAUCAGUAGCUGUCACUAUCAGUAGCUGUCAGUAGCUGUCAGUAGCUGUCACUGUCAGUAGCUGUCAGUCAGUAGCUGUCAGUCAGUAGCUGUCAGUCAGUAGCUGUCACUAUCAGUAGCUGUCACUAUCAGUAGCUGUCAGUCAGUAGCUGUCACUAUCAGUAGCUGUCACUAUCAGUAGCUGUCAGUCAGUAGCUGUCACUAUCAGUAGCUGUCACUAUCAGUAGCUGUCACUAUCAGUAGCUGUCAGUCAGUAGCUGUCACUAUCAGUAGCUGUCACUAUCAGUAGCUGUCACUAUCAGUAGCUGUCAGUCAGUAGCUGUCACUAUCAGUAGCUGUCACUAUCAGUAGCUGUCAGUCAGUAGCUGUCACUAUCAGUAGCUGUCACUAUCAGUAGCUGUCACUAUCAGUAGCUGUCACUGUCAGUAGCUGUCACUGUCAGUAGCUGUCAGUAGCUGUCACUGUC